rnacentral:rRNA from 1 species
UGGAACAAUUUACCUGACCGCAGGGCCUAAGAACCGGCGACUUAUCCUUCAAAUGUCUGCCUUAUCAACUUUCAAGGGUAAAUUAUGCCCCUACCUGGGUUGUAACGGGUAACGAAAAAUCAGGGUUUGAUUCCGGAAAGGGAGCCUGAAAAACGGCUCCCACUUCCAAGGAAGGCAGCAGGCCCCCAAAUUACCCCCUCCCGGCCCGGGGAGGUAGGGACAAAAAAUAACAAGCUGGUCUCAAUGAUUUCCGGCUUUGUAAUGGAACCAUUUUAAAUCAUUUAUCGAGGAUCUAUUGAAGGGCAGGUCUGGUGCCAGCAGCCGCGGUAAUUCCAGCUCCAAUAGCGAUAUUAAGUUGUUGCGGUAAAAAG